AUGGUUAGGUUCUCAGAGUUUCCUGGCAGCAUGGCCCCCAAACGCCAGUCUCCACUCCCACCUCAGAAGAAGAAGCCAAGACUGCCUAGUGCUCCCAGACCGGAGGACACCUCAGGCUCUCAGGGAUUGCCAAAAAAAAAAAAGAAAAAGAACAGUAGGAAGCAAUUGAACAUAUUGAUGAAGUACAAAAUGAAAUAGACAGACUUAAUGAACAAGCCAGUGAGGAGAUUUUGAAAGGAGAACAGAAAUAUAACAAACGCCGCCAACCAUUUUUUCAGGAGAAGUCAGAAUUGAUUGCCAAAAUCCCAAAUUUUUGGUAAACAACAUUGGUCAAGCAUCCACAUGUGUCUGCGCUGCUUGGGGAGGAGGAUGAAGAGGCACUGCAUUAUUUGGCCAGAGUUGAAGUGACAGAAUUUGAAGACAUUAAAUCAGGUUACAGAAUAGAUUUUUACUUUGAUGAAAACCCUUACUUUGAAAAUAAAAGUUCUCUCCAAAGUAUUUCAUCUGAACAAGACAGGUAAGCCAUCUUCAAAGUCCACUGAAAUCAAAUGGAAAUCUGGCAAGGAUUUGAUGAAAUGUUCCAGUCAAACACAGAAUAAAGCCAGCAGGAAGAGGCAGCAUGAGGAACCAGAGAGCUUCUUUACCUGGUUUACUGACCAUUCUGACGCAAAUGCAGAUGAAUUAGGAGAGGUCAUCAAAGAUGAUAUUUGGCCAAAUCCAUUACAGUACUACUUGGUUCCUGAUAUGGAUGAUGAAGAAGGAGAAGGAGAAGAAGAUGAUGAUGACGAUGAAGAAGAAGAAGGUUUGGAAGAUAUUGAUGAGGAAGGGGAUGAGGAUGAAGGUGAAGAAGAUGAAGAUGAUGAUGAAGGGGAAGAAGGAGAGGAGGAUGAAGGAGAAGACGACUAACAGAACACUGAUGGAUUCCAACUGUUUUUAAAAUUUUCUCCAGUCCCUGGGAGCAAGUUGCAGUCUUUUUUGUUUUUCCUUUUGUGCUCAGUCGCCCUGUUCUUGAGGUCUCUUUUUUCUACACCAUGAUUCUCAACUUAUUUUGGGGGGAAAUACCUUGAACAGAAUACAAUGGGGAAAGAAUCUCUACCCUUUUCUGUUCCAAAUUUAUUUUUAUCCCUUCCUGUCUCAACAAAAACUGUAUGGAAUCAACACCACCAAGCUCUGUGGGAAAAAAGACAAACCUGCUCCCUUCGCUCUGCUGGAAGCUGGAGGGUGCUAGGCCCCUGUGUAGUAGUGCAUAGAAUUCUAGCUUUUUUACUCCUUUCUCUGUAUAUUGGGCUCAGAGAGUACACUGUGUCUCUAUGUGAAUAUGGACGGUUAACAUUUACCAACAUGUAUCUGUCUACUUUCUCUUGUUUAAAAAAAGAAAAAAAAAACUUAAAAAAAAAUAGGGUAUAGAAGGUCAGCAGAGGGUGGGUUUGAGAUGUUUGGGUGGGUUAAGUGGGCAUUUUGAAAACAUGGCUUCUCCUUUGGCAUGUUUAAUUGUGAUAUUUAAUAGACAUCCUUGCAGUUUAAGAUGACACUUUUAAAAUAAAUUCUCUCCUAAUGAUGACUUGAGCCCUGUCACUCAAAUGGGAGAAUCAGCAGAACCUGUAGGAUCUUAUUUGGAAUUGACAUUGUCUAUUGUAAUUUUGUUCUGUUUAUUUUUAAAUUUUCUUUUUGUUUCAAUGGAAAGGAAAGAUGAUGCUCAGUUUUAAACGUUAUAAGUGUACAAGUUGCUUUGUUACAAUAAAACUAAAUGUGUAC